rnacentral:rRNA from 1 species
GCAACAACCUAGCCCCACCAAAAUAAAAAACCUAACAAACAAAACUAUCCCACCAAUACCAACCAAAACAUUUUCACCAUCCUAGUAUAGGCGAUAGAAAAGAC